rnacentral:rRNA from 1 species
GACGAACGCUGGCGGCGUGCUUAACACAUGCAAGUCGAACGGAAAGGCACUGAUUUUGUGGGGUGAUCGAGUGGCGAACGGGUGAGUAACACGUGAGUAACCGGACCUUGACUUUGGGAUAACUUAAGGAAACUGGGGCUAAUACCGGAUAGGAGAUCCUGCUGCAGGGUGGGGGGUGGAAAGUUUCGGCGGUUGGGGAUGGACUCGCGGCUGAUCAGUUUGUUGGUGGGGUAGUGGCAUACCAAGGAAUUGACGGGUAGCCGGCCGGAGAGGGUGGCCGGCCUCAUUGGGCCUAAGAUACGCCCCAGUCUCCUACGGUAGGCAGCGGUGGGAAGUAUUACACAAUGAUCGGAAGCCUGAUGCAGCGGCGCCGCGUGCGGGAUGACCGCCUUCUGGUUGUAAACCGCUUUCGCCUGUUACGACGCUUGUGUGACGGUAAUGGGUAAAUAAGCACCGGCUAACUACGUG